rnacentral:rRNA from 1 species
CCUACGGGAGGCAGCAGUGGGGAAUCUUGCGCAAUGGGGGAAACCUUGACGCAGCAACGCCGCGUGGGUGAUGAAGGCCUUCGGGUCGUAAAGCCCUGUCAGGUGGGAAGAAACAUAUCGGUGCUAAUAUCACCGAUGUUUGACGGUACCGCCGGAGGAAGCACCGGCUAACUCCGUGCCAGCAGCCGCGGUAAUACGGAGGGGGCAAGCGUUGUUCGGAAUUACUGGGCGUAAAGAGCGCGUAGGCGGCCAGGUAAGUCAGGCGUGCAAUACUAUGGCUUAACCAUAGAACUGCGUCUGAUACUGCUUGGCUAGAGUACAGGAGGGGGAAGUGGAAUUCCCAGUGUAGCGGUGAAAUGCGUAGAUAUUGGGAGGAACACCGGUGGCGAAGGCGGCUUCCUGGACUGAUACUGACGCUGAGACGCGAAAGCGUGGGGAGCAAACAGGAUUAGAUACCCUGGUAGUCCACGCGGUAAACGAUGGGCACUAGGUGUGGGGGGUAUCCACUCCUCCCGUGCCGCAGCUAACGCAUUAAGUGCCCCGCCUGGGGAGUACGGCCGCAAGGUUAAAACUCAAAGGAAUUGACGG